rnacentral:rRNA from 1 species
AUGCAUGUCCUCUCCAACUGUCCGUCCCCACCGGCAUCCUCGGCCUCCCAGAAAGAGGGCCACCCACCACCAUCACACCAAUAUAUAUUCACCGCAGAGGAGCAAAGAAUCAAAGAUGCACCUGUUAGUUGUCUCUCACACAAAGCAACACCCAUAUCCCCCCUCCAACACACGACAGUUCUUCCUCUUCCAAGGAACCCAACCAAACACAGAGUAAGAGAUGAACAUCCACUAGAGAAGCCGGCCCAGAUGGACAGGGGCGUCCUCCUGAUGAUCUUGCUGGCGGCGGCGGCGAUGCUCCUGUGCCUCCCACUGGUGCUGCCCCCGCUGCCGCCGCCGCCGGCCUUCCUGCUCUUCGUCCCUGUGGUGAUGAUGCUCCUGCUCUUCUCCCUGAUCCUCUUCCCCUCCACAAACUGCGAGUGCCCGUCUCAGUAUCAGUAG